rnacentral:rRNA from 1 species
CGCGUAGGUGGUUUGUUAAGUCGGGUGUGAAAGCCCCGGGCUCAACCUGGGAAUUGCAUUCGAUACUGGCAGACUAGAGUAUGGUAGAGGGAAGCGGAAUUCCGGGUGUAGCGGUGAAAUGCGUAGAUAUCCGGAGGAACACCAGUGGCGAAGGCGGCUUCCUGGACCAAUACUGACACUGAGGUGCGAAAGCGUGGGUAGCAAACA